ACUUGAGACAGGUGUAUUACUGUUGUAGGUGGGAAUAUAGGAGGGUGAGAUACACAUAAACGUGUGCACGAAGAAGAAAGCUGGCUCCCCUGUGAGAUUUUCCACCAGAUAUUUUUAAACAAAACAUGUUAGAUAAUAUUUUUUCUUUUAAUAUAAAACAAAGAUUGUUGCCUUUCCUACCGAGAGGAACAAUACACGCUUAUAAGGAUACAUAAAAUUUCUCAAUUUAUAUCUGUAAGCUACGACAAAUCAUUGAUCACGAAAAAUAUUUCUGAGCGAAAUUCAGCUAUACAUGUUUUAAAAUGCUCUCAUUAUUUUGAUAUUCGUCAAAAAUCAAAACACUUUUAAAAAUUUGCCACACUACGUUCAAUUUUUUUUUUACUACCAAGUACAAUUUAUAAUGAAUUUCGUAUUUAAU